GGCGCGGCCGGAAGUGCUGCUCGGGGGCGCGUGGCGGUGGGGCCGGGGUCGGUUCCUCUCUCGCCUCUCCUCUGUGAGGCUCCAGUACCGUGCGGCUCUUGGAGCUUUUAUUUUUGUUUUCUUAACCAUCUCUGGUUGCGAUCGGGUAUAGAGAGGAGGGACUUUGUUCCCGUUAGGGGCUUGUGGCUCAGCCAGUCUCUGAACCCUGUCAGAAAAGGGCUGUCGUGGGGCUGCGCUUCUCAUCGAGCUCCUCUGCUUUCGCCUUGUCGCCUUUGUGCCUAUUCCCCCCUGCUUUUCUUUUGGAUCUGCGGAGCUUCCAAACGAACUUACCUCAGUAGGGUGCCCACGGAUUUGGUCUGCCCGGAAGAGAGAAGUGCCCAUAGAACCAUAGGAUGGCCUGGGUUGAAAAGGACCACGAUGAUCAUCGAGUUUCAACCCCCCUGCUGUGUGCAGGGUCGCCGACCACCAGACCCUGUGCCCGUGUAUUACACUGCCAAAGCAAAACCACAACGGCACGCAUCCGUGUGAUGUAAAUACAUGCAAUAACGCAGGCAUGAAGAGUUCCUACAGUGCUCUCGGGAUCCAUUUGGAAAUGGCACUGAACCUGGCCAGGAGUUAGUAAUAUUUUCAGUGAAUAAUCUCGUUUCUGUUAGCGACCUGAGAGCUUCGGGUGAUAAAACAGCCCACACAAGAACAUGCAGAAGCAGAAAAUGCAAGAUAAUGCGUGUGUGGGGUAAUGAGUACUUGCACCAUAAAUCAAGGAGCUCUCUGGCAGAGGACUGCGAAAAUACCCAGGCUUGUUAGUCAAUGGGGAAAGGAAGCUAACAGUUUAAAAUGCAGUUGCGAAGAGAGCCCCGCAAAUGUGACUGAUGUGUGUGAGGUCAAACCUCUGAGUUGCCUGUGAGACAUUACUGUGUCCUGGACUGACGAACCGUGUCCAGGAAAAGGAACCUGUACAGAAAUACACCCAGGAGGGUUACUGGAGCAGAGCAAAGCUUAUCUACAAGAAUACACUUGGAAUAUUUGUCUGGCUAAUGCGGCAAAAGCAAACGUGGAGGAGGGGGUAUGGCUGCUGGUAACAAAAAAGCAAGGGCAGAAUCAAGGAGUGGCCAUUCAAGCUAAUAAACAAGGUUGAUAGAACAGCGUAGAUCUAAAUUGUAAGUAGAGAAGCUGCUGACGGCUGGUUUCUGGUGAGGAGGGUGAUCGGAAUGAAGAUGCAACAGGAGUGCUCACACAGAACAGAUUCACGCCAGCUGAUACUCUUGCUUCAUCACUUCGCCAUACAGUGGGGAGUGGACUCUUCUCGCAGGUAACUAGCAGUAGGACCAGAAGUAAUGGCCUCAAGUUCCUCCAGGAGAUGUUAUGUUUGUGGAUGUUAGGGAAAAUUUAUUCUCUGAAAGAGCAGCAAAGCAUUGGAACUGGAAGUGUUCAAGUCACCAUCUCUGAACGUGGUCAAGAAGUGUGUAGAUGUGGCACCGGGGAGCAUAGCACCAUUAGCUAAGUGUGCCACACUUGUAGAAGUCUGC
ensembl:lncRNA